GUUUUGAGCGGGUCGAUUAUCUUUAAAAUAACGCUUGUUGCAAUUUAAUUUUAUAUGCCAAGAUUGGCAUCGAUAGCUUUUUGCGAUAGUUUUUGCCAAAAGAUCACAAAUAUUCUUGUUAUCAGUAUUGCAAGCCUUAUCUUUAUGGUCUAUAUUUGUACAAAACAACCUUGACACACUAUUAAAUGGAAAACAAAUAAACUGGAAAAUAUGGAAAGUUAUUUUACGUCUGCUUUUAUAUGUUUCCAAUGUAUCUUUCUCUGUUUAAUUGUUGCAGGCGAUAUGAACUCUCCGACUGUAAGUACGAAGAAUGUAACAGCGCAUUAUUGUCCGUAUCCGUGCACAGUUGGUAAUCAGACAUUAUGUUACCCUCUCCCGUGUCCACUGCCACCAUGUGUCGAUCCGGCAAGAUACCAACCAACCGAUUGCUGCCAAUAUUGCCCCAACGGUGCAAAUUGCCGAGGCCCUGCAGGCAGUAUUAUUAAAUGGAACCAUUGGAAAAUAGUUGACGGGAAAAACUGCACAUGUAAAUAUAUAGCACAGGAUGCUGUAUGCGUAUAACAUGUAAAA